UACAGAGGUGGCAAGCGUUGUUCGGAAUUACUGGGCGUAAAGGGCGCGUAGGCGGCCUUCUAAGUCAGACGUGAAAUCCCCCGGCUUAACCUGGGAACUGCGUCUGAUACUGGGAAGCUUGAGUAUGGGAGAGGGAUGUAGAAUUCCAGGUGUAGCGGUGAAAUGCGUAGAUAUCUGGAGGAAUACCGGUGGCGAAGGCGGCAUCCUGGACCAUAACUGACGCUGAGGCGCGAAAGCUAGGGGAGCAAACAGG
rnacentral:rRNA from 1 species